GCAGCAAAGUUGAUUCACCAAAGUUGCACUUGGAUCUAGAAGGAAUUCUGCCACAAUUAUCUUAACUAAUAAUUGCAAGCACUUGCAAAGAAAAUUUUACAGGGAUUUCUAAUUGCCUAUAUUAGCAUAAAAGCUUUUUGGCCAGACUCCAUAUUCUAAUCACUAAAAAUUCCAAUAUUAAAACAUUACAGAUGAACAAACAAAACCUUCAGACUAGGCAAAAAUUUGAC
rnacentral:misc_RNA from 1 species